rnacentral:tRNA from 1 species
GCUCCUAUCGUCUAGCGGUCGAGGACGUCGCCCUUUCAAGGCGAAAACAUGGGUUCGAGUCCCAUUAGGAGCA